rnacentral:snoRNA from 1 species
AUAUAGUGGUGUGGACAUUUUCUUAACAUUGCUUUAAACCUUUCCCAAGCUUAAUAAACUGACUCUGUGUUAGCCCGCAAGAAAUUAGAUAUGUCUUGUCUUAACUU